GAGUUUGAUCAUGGCUCAGAAUGAACGUUGGCGGCGUGGAUUAGGCAUGCAAGUCGAGCGAGAUCUGUAGCAAUACAGUGAAAGCGGCGAAAGGGAGAGUAAUACGUAGGUACCUGCCCUCGGGACCGGGAUAGCUGCGGGAAACUGCAAUUAAUACCGGAUGACGUCUCUGGACCAAAGGUGUGAUUCCGCCAGAGGAUGGGCCUGCGUCCUAUUAGCUUGUUGGUGAGGUAACGGCUCACCAAGGCAAAGAUGGGUACGGGGUGUGAGAGCAUGCCCCGCUCACUGGGACUGAGACACUGCCCAGACACCUACGGGUGGCUGCAGUCGAGAAUCUUCCGCAAUGGGCGCAAGCCUGACGGAGCGACGCCGCGUGCGGGAUGAAGGCCUUGGGUUGUAAAGCUCGUUUCGGCGGGGACGAAAGUGGUACGUGCUAACACCACGGACUGAUGACGGUACCCGAAGAAGAAGCACCGGCUAACUCUGUGCCAGCAGCCGCUGUAAC
rnacentral:rRNA from 1 species